GAUGAACGCUGGCGGCGUGCCUAAUACAUGCAAGUCGAGCGAACGGACGAGAAGCUUGCUUCUCUGAUGUUAGCGGCGGACGGGUGAGUAACACGUGGAUAACCUACCUAUAAGACCGGGAUAACUUCGGGAAACCGGGGCUAAUACCGGAUAAUAUUUUGAACCGCAUGGUUCAAAAGUGAAAGACGGUCUUGCUGUCACUUAUAGCUGGAUCCGCGCUGCAUUAGCUAGUUGGUAAGGUAACGGCUUACCAACGCAACGAUGCAUAGCCGACCUGAGAGGGUGAUCGGCCAGACUGGAACUGAGGCACGGUCCAGACUCCUACGGGAGGCAGCAGUAGGGAAUCUUACGCAAUGGGCGAAAGCCUGACGGAGCAACGCCGCGUGAGUGAUGAAGGUCUUCGGAUCGUAAAACUCUGUUAUUAGGGAAGAACAUAUGUGUAAGUAACUGUGCACAUCUUGACGGUACCUAAUCAGAAAGCCACGGCUAACUACGUG
rnacentral:rRNA from 1 species